UUCUCAAGAGAUACAAGAAGGUUCAUCAUCAGUAUCUCCCAGAGCUCCAGAGCACAGUAGGACACCUACACAGAGAAGACCUUCUGGUACCUCCCAUUGCAUUCCUGGAGAAGCUAAAAUCAGGUCACAUGUAGCUGCUAAUAAGAAAGAAAUCCUGCUCUGAGAACUUGCUGGCCAUUCAUUACUUGAAGUUUCUGAAUGCUUGUUGGGUAUUGCCCAAGGCUCUAAGCAGAGAUGAGAGAAGAGAAAGAAGGGAAUGCAGAAGUGGUGUGUGAAGAUGAGGAAGAUGAUAUUGGACAAAGUCUUCUCAGAAGGCUCCAACCUUCAGCUGCCAAAGAUAUGAGUGCCGGAAUCAUCAGGGGAGACCAGCUGAAGUUCCUCUGUGAAACAUUCCAUCCUGCCUAAGUGCCCCUUUUGUCCCUUCUCCCAUGGCAGCCAAUGGGACUGGUCCCUCAAGGAGGAUGUUGAACUGGACCUCAUGAAGCCUUCAGUGCUAGGAGCGUGUUGUGGGUUGAAAUCCCUGCCCAGCACUCACCCUUUACACCUGGCAAUCUUAAUCUGAUCCCAGCGUGUCACAGCUGCAGCCAGGCUCAGUUUUGAGGCUGCCCAGCUCACCUAACCAAGCCUGGGAGGGUGGCUGGUUCAUAUGGCAAGUCUGGCACGCGACUGGUGAGUGUUUUGAGCAAUUCCAGGAGGAUUAAAGCUUCCAGCAACCUCAGCUGUCUCCUCCUCUCCUGCCUUGUAAUCUACGUCUAGGAUGGGAAUUGAAUCCAAAGAAAUGCAAUCCUCGACCUUGAAAAACAAAGCAAGGCUUGGCAAGUCUACCGAUGAAUAUGCAACAGCCCU